GUGGGGAAUAUUGGACAAUGGGCGAAAGCCUGAUCCAGCCAUGCCGCGUGUGUGAAGAAGGUCUUCGGAUUGUAAAGCACUUUAAGUUGGGAGGAAGGGCAGUAAGUUAAUACCUUGCUGUUUUGACGUUACCGACAGAAUAAGCACCGGCUAACUUCGUGCCAGCAGCCGCGGUAAUACGAAGGGUGCAAGCGUUAAUCGGAAUUACUGGGCGUAAAGCGCGCGUAGGUGGUUUUGUAAGUUGGAGGUGAAAUCCCCGGGCUCAACCUGGGAACUGCAUCCAAAACUGCAUGACUAGAGUACGGUAGAGGGUAGUGGAAUUUCCUGUGUAGCGGUGAAAUGCGUAGAUAUAGGCAGGAACACCAGUGGCGAAGGCGACUACCUGGACUGAUACUGACACUGAGGUGCGAAAGCGUGGGGAGCAAACAGGAUUAGAAACCCCGGUAGUCC
rnacentral:rRNA from 1 species